rnacentral:rRNA from 1 species
GACGAACGCUGGCGGCGUGCUUAACACAUGCAAGUCGAACGGAAAGGCCUGCUUUCCCUUGUGGAUUGCGGGUACUCGAGUGGCGAACGGGUGAGUAACACGUGAGUGAUCUGCCCCCAACUUGGGUAUAAGCCUGGGAAACUGGGUCUAAUUCCCGAUAGGACUGCAGGGUGGUGCCUGUGGUGGAAAACGGUUUUCUAGUGGUUGGGGAUGAGCUCGCGGCCUAUCAGCUUGUUGGUGGGGUAAUGGCCUACCAAGGCGGCGACGGGUAGCCGGCCUGAGAGGGUGGACGGCCACAUUGGGACUGAGAUACGGCCCAGACUCCUACGGGAGGCAGCAGUGGGGAAUAUUGCGCAAUGGGCGGAAGCCUGAUGCAGCGACGCCGCGUGGGGGAUGACGGCCUUCGGGUUGUAAACUCCUUUCGACCGCGAGGAAGCCACCUGGUUGGAAGGGUGGUGACGGUAGUGGUAGAAGAAGCACCGGCUAACUACGUG